rnacentral:rRNA from 1 species
CAAUAGCAUAUAUUAACGUUGUUGCAGUUGAAAAGCUCGUAGUUGAACUUUUGGUAGGAGCGACCUGGCCUUGGGCGCAUGCCCUUGUUUGCCGUGUGUCGUGUCUGGCCAUCCUUUUCCGCUUCGGCGGGAAUCUUUUACUGUGAGUAAACUGGAGUGCUCAAAACAAGACGUUUGUUUGGUACAUUAAAGCAUGGAAUAAUAAGAUAGGACCUGGUUACUAUUUUGUUGGUUUGCAUAGCUAGGUAAUGAUUAACAGGGACAGUUGGGGGUAUUCGUAUUUAAUUGUCAGAGGUGAAAUUCUUGGAUUUAUGAAAGACGAACGACUGCGAAAGCAUUUACCAAGGAUGUUUUCAUUAA